AUGCGCCGUUGUGGGUCACCAAGCCGCCGGCGAGGAUCAACGUCACGGAGGGAAGCGAGCUGGUGGUGAAGGCUGCAGCUCGAGCCAACCCUGGGCCCGUCAGGUACCGCUGGCGCCACGGUAAAGGCACGCUGCAGGCCACGGGGGAGGUGCUGAAGCUGGGGAGUGUCAACCGGACGCAGCUGGGCCACUAUACCGUCACCGCCUACAGCAAAAAGGGGACAGCCAACGCCUCCUUCCUGCUUGACGUCCAGUACGGGCCCGAGGACGUGUCGGCGGAGGAUCGGCUGGAGGUGGCGGCGGGGGAGGAGAUUCGCCUCAAAUGUUCCUCCAGCGGCAACCCUUCCCCGCGCCUCACCUGGACCACCGAGGCCCAGCCCCCCGCCAGGUGAGCCGCCUUAGCUAUAUGUACCUUCAUAUAUCAAACGAGCACCUAGACGCCAUCAUCACACCUCCCCGACAUGCGGACACCACCGGGCGUCACUCACUCCUCACGCCAACACCUGCUGCUAUAACGUCACUUUAGGGCCGCGCCAUCAUUAGUCUUCCAUCGUCACACCUUGAUAA